CUCUCUGGUGAUGAUCAAAACAUACUUUCGUUCUACUGAGCUUGAUACAAGCACAACGUGGAGAAAAAAUAUGGAGACCUGAACUGAAGAGAG
rnacentral:snoRNA from 1 species